UACGGAGGGUGCGAGCGUUGUCCGGAAUCAUUGGGCGUAAAGGGCGCGUAGGCGGCCUGAUAAGUAGGGGGUGAAAUCCUGCGGCUUAACCGCAGGGCUGCCUUCUAAACUGUCAGGCUCGAGCACAGUAGAGGCAGGUGGAAUUCCCGGUGUAGCGGUGGAAUGCUUAGAGAUCGGGAAGAACAUCAGUGGCGAAGGCGGCCUGCUGGGCUGUUGCUGACGCUGAGGCGCGACAGCGUGGGGAGCAAACAGG
rnacentral:rRNA from 1 species